rnacentral:rRNA from 1 species
CGCGUAGAAAACUGCCCAGUAGUGGGGGAUAGCCCAGAGAAAUUUGGAUUAAUACCGCAUACGCCCUACGGGGGAAAGGAGGCUUCGGCUUUCGCUAUUGGAUGUGUCUGCGUGAGAUUAGCUAGUUGGUGGGGUAAAGGCUCACCAAGGCGACGAUCUCUAGCUGGUCUGAGAGGAUGAUCAGCCACACUGGAACUGAGACACGGUCCAGACUCCUACGGGAGGCAGCAGUGGGGAAUAUUGCACAAUGGGCGAAAGCCUGAUGCAGCCAUGCCGCGUGUGUGAAGAAGGCUCUAGGGU